CCUACGGGGGGCUGCAGUGGGGAAUAUUGGACAAUGGGGGCAACCCUGAUCCAGCCAUGCCGCGUGUGUGAAGAAGGCCCUCGGGUUGUAAAGCACUUUCAGUGAGGAAGAACGCCUGGUGGUUAAUACCCAUCAGGAAAGACAUCACUCACAGAAGAAGCACCGGCUAACUCCGUGCCAGCAGCCGCGGUAAUACGGAGGGUGCGAGCGUUAAUCGGAAUUGCUGGGCGUAAAGCGCGCGUAGGUGGCUUGAUAAGCCGGUUGUGAAAGCCCCGGGCUCAACCUGGGAACGGCAUCCGGAACUGUCAAGCUAGAGUGCAGGAGAGGAAGGUAGAAUUCCCGGUGUAGCGGUGAAAUGCGUAGAGAUCGGGAGGAAUACCAGUGGCGAAGGCGGCCUUCUGGACUGACACUGACACUGAGGUGCGAAAGCGUGGGUAGCAAACAGGAUUAGAUACCCCAGUAGUC
rnacentral:rRNA from 1 species